GAAUGACUUAGACGUACAUGUCAGGAGAAAGGGUCAGCUCUUGGCACACAGUCGGGCAGCUGGAAGAGUCCCCCUCGAUCACCAUGUUCCUUCAGACAAAAAAGGACCAACUCUAG
rnacentral:lncRNA from 11 species